UGAGGAAUAUUGGUCAAUGGGCGCAAGCCUGAACCAGCCAUCCCGCGUGAAGGAUGAAGGCCCUAUGGGUCGUAAACUUCUUUUAUAUACCAAGAAAACGGCCCACGUGUGGGUCUUUGACGGUAGUGUAUGAAUAAGCAUCGGCUAACUCCGUGCCAGCAGCCGCGGUAAUACGGAGGAUGCGAGCGUUAUCCGGAUUCAUUGGGUUUAAAGGGUGCGUAGGCGGUUUUUUAAGUCAGUGGUGAAAUCCUGCGGCUCAACCGUAGAACCGCCAUUGAUACUGAGAAACUUGAAUAUAGUUGAGGUAAGCGGAAUGUGUAGUGUAGCGGUGAAAUGCUUAGAUAUUACACAGAACACCGAUUGCGAAGGCAGCUUACCAAGCUACGAUUGACGCUGAGGC
rnacentral:rRNA from 1 species